rnacentral:misc_RNA from 1 species
UUUUCAAGCUGCAUCUCCUGCCUCCUCAUUCUAUGACGAUAACUUCUCAUCAGAUGGUCAGAAUUUGGGUAGGAAUAAGCAAACAAACUCGUGUCUGAUGUCCCAAAAAUUCUUGCAAACAUCAUCUCUCCAAACAUCCCAAUGAUGGGAUUGAAAAUUUGUCUCAUUGCCGCACCACCAAGAUUUGAUGAGGCCAUAGCCCCAUAUCCUCCAUAUGAGUUAGGGAAAUAUUGCUGGUGAUGAAAGGACUGUGGUUGUGGCUGGGACUGAAAGAAAUUUGGAUGAAAUUGCUGACUCUGUUGCGAAGUGUUACUAAUCAAUGUAUUCAAUGCAGGAGGUGGCCUAUGGGGUAUGACUACAUCUGGAAAAGCGUUCUUCGAUUCUAGAUUGGUUCGGGAUUUACCACGACCAUAAAGGGGCACCAAUGAAUUUGGGGAAAUGUUAGCCUUACAAACAGGGCAGCUUGGCUGCUGCUCAUAAGCAUCUGCGGCAGAAGUUUUAACAUGCAGCCACUUGUAAAUGCAUGGCCAGCAAUACAGGUGACCACAAAGAGUGAUAACAGGAUCAUGUGGUGAGUCCAAGCAUAUGUUGCAAUCAAAACAAUCACCAUCCACAUCUGAGAUGCCUGUUGGGGUUGUGAUGGAUUUCCAUUUCUGCUUAAGUGUAACAUCUUCGUCAGAUUCAAAGUGUACCUCAUGUUCGUAGAAGCUUGGUUCCAUAGCCAUAUUAUCGAUAUAGAAAAAUACUGAAACAGAUCUAGAAGGAAUGGAUAACGAACAGAGAGGUUAGGUUCAACAGAGAAUCUAAGUAGCAGGCAAUUCUUGAAUCGGUUGUUUUGGAAGUUAUGGAAAGAAAAAACAAUCAGAGAAGAUUAUAGAAGCAGAAAUUACAAGGAAAGAGGGAUUAG